rnacentral:rRNA from 1 species
CAGCACCUCAAGUGGUCAGGAUGAUUAUUGGGCCUAAAGCAUCCGUAGCCGGCGCUGUAAGUUUUCGGUUAAAUCUGUACGCUCAACGUACAGGCUGCCGGGAAUACUGCAGCGCUAGGGAGUGGGAGAGGUAGACGGUACUCGGUAGGAAGGGGUAAAAUCCUUUGAUCUAUUGAUGACCACCUGUGGCGAAGGCGGUCUACCAGAACACGUCCGACGGUGAGGGAUGAAAGAUGGGGGAGCAAAACGGAUUAGAGACCCGAGUAGUCC